UCAAUUACCACUUUUACUAUAUACUUUAAAUUAGUGUUAUCUAUUCUUUUUUCUCAGAUGACUUUGUUGACAAUAGAAGGUAUUUGAACAAUCUUCUGUAACAGUAAUAACGAGUGUUCACAUUUAUGUGAAUCAUUUCCAUUUCUCCAAAUUUUGACUUUUGUCUUGAAAAUAAAAAUGUUUAUAUGUACUUAAAUAGUCUGAGUGACCUGAACAUGAGAGAAAUAUAUUCACUGAUAUAAGAACUGAUAUAAAAACAUACAUCGUCUGAAUCGGAGGAAAUAUUUUUGGAUCCGGAUGGGAGACCAGGUGUCCUAUAUAUGUGAAGAUAUGAAAAUGAUGUUUUAAGGGAUGCUAAGAAGUAAUUACCACAUAAAGAAUAGCAAAUGGAAAGUCCAAAGUUAAAAUUCUCCAACAAAUCCCAAAGAAGACUAGUUCAUAAACCCCCCGAGCAGAAAGAAUCAUACUGACGUCAUUCAAAAGUACUGCGUCGAUUUAGGGAUAUCUAAAUAUGACAUGCAAUCUCAUUUGAUAUUCAGCAAAUUUUAAUCUAGCAGUUGUAUGGUACCAAGAAUGUUAACGCUACAAAUAAUUAUGAAACUGUUUCGUUUGAUCAUAAUAGCUAUAUGUUGAUGAAUCCUUUUAAAUACUUUAUUUUUUUUUCUGGAACUUUUGCCGCAAAAUAAAAGAGAAAUGAAGAUAAUAAUACAUUUUGUAAGCAAAUAUCGCAAUUGAUUUUUUUAAAUGAAUGUAAAUGAUAGUAUUUGUAUUUUAACAUGUUUCCUGAUAAAUUAUAUUUAAAACUGGUAUAAUUUGCUCUUGUGUCUUGUGCACCCUUAAACACAACCCUUCCGAUAAGAAACAACCCUUUGUUUCAUCUGAUGGUAACUUGUUUAUUAGAGAUUUAAAGAUAUAUUGAACCUAUCAUAAUAGAGUUAUUUUUUUUAAAGGGAACCAAAUUUAAGAUAAUGUAGUUUGUAUUAUCAUUCAUUGACAUUACUUAAGAUGUAAUAAUAUUUUUAUAUAGUAAUAUGUAAUUAUAUAAUAUGAUUUCAAAUCAGACUAACUGAUCUGUCAAAAAGAAAUAAGUUUUUUUAACGGAACUUGCAAUUUAACGGUACAUGAAUAAUAACAAAACGUGUUUAUGAUAAAACUGUUUUGUGAUUAAACAUCACUUUUCUUUUUA